UUAUUUAAUAAAGUAUGGAUUCAUGGAAAAUCAUUUUCUAAAUCUUUUCUUUGAAUUUUCUUAAGGCCGCCCAUGUCGUCGCGGGGCGACUCCGAUCGGCCCUUCGAGUCUCCAACUUCACCAUUUUCCAUCCUUGAUACCUUAAUAAAUUAUCCGGGAAUUAAUUAAUUAAGCUCCAAGCUCAAUUUCUUAAAUUAAUUCCAUCCAAACAAAAACUAAUUUCCAAGCUCAACAAAUAAAUUUGGGCCCAAUCUAAUAAUUUAGUGAGGCAGUCCAGCUCCUUAAUAGAAUCGGUCUACCAAUCCAUACCAACCCAUUCUUGAGUUGAUUUCUUUAAUCCAAAAUAGCAUAGCAACACAUUUCCCAUUUCCAAACUCAAUUCUCCAAAUUUUUAAUUAGGAUUUCUUGGCCCAAAACCAUUAAAAUAAGUGGUCCGAUUCUUAAUCCCAAUUCACCAAGGCAUACACUACUAGCCCAUCAUUCCUCCACCUUUCUUUUAAUACCAUCGGUAUCUCCUUCUCCCUGAAUUCAUGUUUCAACAGGGGUGGAGGCGUCACCACCUUCUCCCGUUCUCAGCCGCGGCAUCGUGGGACACGCGGAGUCCUCGCCUGUGUCCCCUCCGCCCAGCGCUGGUACGCGUUCUGCUGUCUCCGUCGUCAACCAAAAAGCUAAGUUCUUUGCUCAAUGCCUUAUUUUACAACUUGUCUAAAUGUUUCAAGAUCCAAGAGUUUGGAAGGUCAGUGUAUUGGCUAUGUUGGGGUCCUUAACUGCUUGAUGCUUGAAUUACACAUUUUGCUACUGCCUUGAUACAGUUUGGCACUGAUUCUUCAUUGAUCCUAUUGCUAUUAUUUCCUACGUGAUCAUGCUUCUUAUGAUUCUAAGUUCUUGAGUCUCUGAGGUUCUAUCGUGUUGUGGGGAUUACCUUGCUCGGUGAUUCCAUUCGGUUGCGGGGUAUGCUCCUAUCUCGCUGCCUCUCCUUCCUCCCUUGCUGCUCCUUUGUUCCUUGAACCUUUGGGAGUCGAGAAGUGGGAGGAAGAGGGUGGUGAUGGGUGGUAUUUAUAGCCGAGUCCUUGGCUAGUGAGGGCUGAUUCCAAUUUCCCUAUCUUUUGUGGCAGGUUUUGGGGAGUAUAACUUGCUACUCUGAGCUAAAGGUCUCAUAUUGUUAAAUAGGCUUCCUUCCUAUUUUGUGCAAGUCUUGGAAAAGCUAUCAUUGCUGAUCUCAUUUGUGAUUUGGGAGAAUAUGAUUCUUCUCAUUUGGGUUUGAAGAUAAGCAUCUUUCUUGCUUCACUUGUCACCAUUUCCACUUUGGUGAAAUUGGGAGUAACCGAGAUGAAAAAGGGGCUUUACUAAGGUUUCAACUUGGUCUUUUGUGGAGUGGGGAGCAAGGAUCGAGUUGGAGAAGAUUUCCAUAAUGAAUUAGAAUCUAGUGUUGUCAUUUUAAUCUUUCUAGCUACUAAUAGCUACUAAUGUAUAGUAGCUUUUGCACAGUAGAUUUGUAUUCUUUUUUAUCUAAGUCCUCAAAUAGGUUAGGUCAAGUACUCUACUUGUGAAAGGUAGCUUUCCAUGUGUACCUUAGGCUCCUAACAUUUCCUUUUUUGAAGGGUGUAGCUCAUCACUUUUACACAUACUUCUAUGUGUAAACAAAAGUAGCGUGUACUCCAUCUUCAUAUAUUCAUGUAUGCAAUCAUUUAUACACUUA